rnacentral:rRNA from 1 species
AUUGAACGCUGGCGGCAGGCUUAACACAUGCAAGUCGAGCGGAGCGAGGGUGCUUGCACCUUAGCUUAGCGGCGGACGGGUGAGUAAUGCUUAGGAAUCUGCCUAUUAGUGGGGGACAACAUUCCGAAAGGGAUGCUAAUACCGCAUACGCCCUACGGGGGAAAGCAGGGGAUCUUUGGACCUUGCGCUAAUAGAUGAGCCUAAGUCGGAUUAGCUAGUUGGUGGGGUAAAGGCCUACCAAGGCGACGAUCUGUAGCGGGUCUGAGAGGAUGAGCCGCCACACUGGGACUGAGACACGGCCCAGACUCCUACGGGAGGCAGCAGUGGGGAAUAUUGGACAAUGGGCGGAAGCCUGAUCCAGCCAUGCCGCGUGUGUGAAGAAGGCCUUUUGGUUGUAAAGCACUUUAAGCGAGGAGGAGGCUCUUAAGGUUAAUACCCUUGAUGAGUGGACGUUACUCGCAGAAUAAGCACCGGCUAACUCUGUGCCAGCCGCCGCGGUAACAC